UUAAAAAAUAUAAUAUCAGUUUGAUUAUUUUGAUGGCACCCUUUAGACAGCUGUUGAUAAGUAACUCUGUAACUACAUGUCAACUAGCCGUCAUGAGAGUAUUAGUAGUGUGUCUGCUGAAUAUACUGUAUGAUAACACUUUAUUUUGAUGGUUCCUCAACAGACAAACUGAGUAUAGGAUACUUUGCAAGUAUGUGAACAGUCUACCUACUAGGGUUGUCACGAUACCAUAAAAAUAUCUUACGAUACUAUACCAGCUGAAGUAUCACGAUACUAUGCAGUAUUGUGUUAAUUUAAAAUUCAAUUCUACAAAAUGAAUCAAAAUUUAAUAAAUAAAUAGAUGUAAGUGAAAACAGACAAUAUUAUUCUCUGAAUACUUAAUGUGAAUGAAUGACUGGCUAUUGUUUUCCAUGAAAUAAUCUAAACAAAACUCAUCUCAGCACUGCACAGAAGCUGCAUGAAGUGACAUUUAGAUGUGGCAUUUAUACAUAAUUGCAUAAAUAAUGUUAUGAGAUUAGUGUUUUAAAUACUAAAUUCUGAAUAUAGAAUACAUACAUAGUGUGUGUGUGAGUGAGUGAGUGAGAGAGAGAGAAAGUGACAGUUGAGAAUCAAAUUCAUGAACAUUCCGCCAUUUUAAGUCUAUGGGAUUUUCUUUGCCUGCUUUUUCGUCCGCUGUGCGAACAUCGUAGGUCCGAUCGCUUAGAAAAGAUACAGCACUCUUCUCCUCAAUGAGCCGGUCGAUUUGACACCUCAUUCAUGGGUCUGUGAUAAACGGUGAAUGAACUUAACUCAUCUUUAUUUUUUCUGUGUUUUCUCUGCAGUCUUUCCUUCUGUUAUAUUACAGAGAAAGGCUUUGCUGCUCUGAGUUCAGCUCUGAGAUCAAACCCCUCACACCUGACUGAACUGGAUCUGAGCUAUAAUACACCAGGAGACUCAGGAGUGAAGCUGCUUUCUGCUCUACUGGAGGAUCCACACUGUAAACUGAAGAAACUACAGCUGUGUUUCUGCAGUAUUGGAGAGGAAGGCUGUGCUGCUCUGAGUUCAGCUCUGAGAUCAAACUCCUCACACCUGACAGAACUGGAUCUGAGAUAUAAUAAUCCAGGAGACUCAGGAGAGAAGCUGCGCUCUGCUCUACUGGAGGAUCCACACUGUAAACUGAAGAAACUACAUAUUUGACAGGGAAACUCCACAAGCUCCAAACAAGUGAAUCAAAACAACACGUCCUGAACAAGACUGUCACCUGGACAUUAAUGCUGAUACUGAUCCAGCAGUUUCAUAUGUGAAGGGUUUUGUUAUUAAUUUUCAUUCAGCCUACAUUUUUUUCCAGUCUCAUGGGAACAUUUUUUAAAAUAAGUAGAUUGGACAUAUUAACUGCACUGUAAAUGUUUAGUGUGAAAUUACAGUAUAUUCCAGGUUAAUAACUGCAUGACUUUCACAGUAAUUUCACAGCGGGACUUCUCUUGUAUCUAACUGCACUCUCAGAAAUUUAUUGUAAACAAACAGCAUCAUACUGUGUUUCUACAGUUCAUAUGUACGAUGAAGGUUCCCAGCAUGCAAUGCAGCACGAACAGAUCAUGCUGUAGAGUUUUUAAUUCUUGUUGGUUUUAUUUAUGCUGUUGAACUUGUUUUUUUGUUUUGUUUUUUUGGUUCACUUUGAGCAGUUUGUGUUGUUGGUUUAUUUUGUAAUGUUGGUUUAUGAUGUAAGUGUUGUUUUUAUUUGUUGAGUGUUACUGUUGUUGUGAUUUGUAUGUCAAGUAUUUUUGUCACAUCUUUCAAAGACGUUUCUCAGCAGGUGGUUCAUUAUUGUGAAAAAUCCAUCCACAAAUAUUUAUGAAUAUGAAACAAGUUAUUGGUUAAUCCUUUUAAGUAAUGCUAAAAUAAAAUCUUUGUUUAUCCGAAGAAUA